rnacentral:lncRNA from 1 species
CUUGGACCACCGUAAAUCUGCCACAUUCCUCCAUAAAUGUUACGUUUUCUCGUAUUAUCUCCGCAGGCACGGCUCCAGCAGCUGGGGUCACACGUAAAGAGGAAACUGCUGGACAGAGUUCAGAGACUGCAUCAUCUUCUGCUGGAGUUCAGGAGACAGGCUGGAGGCAGUGCAGCCUUGCAGGAGUUGAGUGACUGGCCACUGAGACUGACCCAGAAGGCUGAGAAACUGCUGUUGCAGAGGGUGGCUUUGCCGUGGACCGUGUGGACCAACGGACCCCUACGCCAUGCCCUGAAACACAGCCUGCCACAAACUCUGCACUUCUUACAUCAUACCUCUCAGCUCAUCCAGCAGGAGCUCAGAAAGCCCCUGACCACCCUGGCAGAGGCUUAUUACGACGUGACGGGCGAGCGUGUGGAUGCAGCGUGGCAGGAGGGACUGGAACUGUGGCGUAGGGAGCUGGAGGAGCUCCUGCCCGCCAUCCUACACAAUCACCACCUGAGAACACCAUCCCUGAGCGUUCUCCGCACCACGAUCGCCGCACUGGACCUGGUCAGCCAGCAGACAGUCCACUGGGCCGAGGCCAGGUUGGCUGCAGUUUUGGUGGGAGUGAGGAGGCAACUGGCCUACACAUACAAGUUCUCGGAAAGCAGGGAGAUGAGAGAAGUGACACUGAGGCUUCCUCUGCCUCAGACUCCCUGGGUAAAAGGCUCACUGGGGUCCGGGGUGGUCCAGGUUCUUCUGGAAGAGUUCCUGCUGAAGCCCCUCCUAUCUCUAAACUCAGCCAGCCUCACAGCUGAGCUCUACAGGCUCAAGAGGAGAGUGAUGGACAGUCCAUUCAACCAUCAAGCGUUCCUGGUAGCAGAUGAAUUUGCUGUAUCGUUUGAAGGACAGCUGUUGGAACUUCCAGCUUCCUGUCAUCUUCUACUAGCAGUCGACGUGAUCAGCAACACUUUCUCCAUCACUCUGAAGUCUAAUAAACCAAAACAGCACUCUCUAGUGGUUCAACUGAACAACACCACCAUCACAAUCCAUCCUCAUGCACAGGUGGAGGUCAACUGUCGGACCAUUCAUGCCCCCUUCACCAACCCUGAUGCUACUAUAACGAGGGAGCUAAAUUUGCUCACUGUGUCCAAUAGAAGAGGACUGUUGGUGUCAUGUGACCCCUCUCUGAGCAUGUGCAGUGUAACUCUGGAUGGAUGGCUACAUGGGAUAGCCAGUGGACUACUUGGCACCAAUGACAACGAAGCAGGAAAUGAACAUCCUCUGCUGGAUGGCUCCCAGACCCAGAGCCUGGAAGAAUUCACUCUGGACUGGCAGGUGGAUUCUAGCUGCAUCAGUAGCAGAGAAAAGACCUGCCAGAAACAGACCCCGGUAGAAUCCUGCACACUUCUCUUCUCCUCCACCACAUCCCCCCUGAGCUCCUGCUUCAGAGUGGUGGACCCUGAUCAGUUCCUCGCAGUGUGUGAAAGGAGUCAGUGCAGCACUCCAGAUUCAUCCAGAAGUACUUUAUGCAGGCUGGCUUCAGCCUACAUUCAAGUCUGCAUUAGAAACUAUGUUCCUUUAGAGUCACCCAUUCAAUGUGCAUAACGAAGCCUGAGAUGCUGAUCCUGGCCAACACGAGUACAGCAUGAAUCACAUUUACAUGUAUGAUACAUUAAAAAUUAAUUGGACGGAGAUUUUUUUAUGUAUUUUUCUUUCAUUUGUAUGUAUAACAAAGUAAUAAGUAAUAUGUAAUAACCGUGACUCUUUCAGUAUGGUGCCUUCUAGUAGACCUAAAGUCAGAUUUCAGGAUUAAUGGGACUUUUAAACUAAACAAUACAACAUUAUACAGAAAUAACUGCCCUGUAACUAAUUGAUUAUUCAUGGUUUUUAACCUUAACAAUAAUCGCCUUCAGUUUAAAGACCACAGAGGGAAACUGGGCCUAAAUGAACAAAUGUUUUCCCUAUUUCGUGUACCUGGCCUAAGGCUAGAGAAAACCUAAGGGCAGUAAAAUUAACCAAAAAAAAGAAAGAAAUGUAGAGAACAAGACUUACGACUCGGACUGACGCCUCUGGUGGCCUGAAGUAAGGAAAAGAAGACAUCAUGUUCUCUACUUUUCAGAUCUUUCUGUUUGGAAAGAGAAAUAUUUUUAGAGUUGUUAUCAGCGUCUGGCAGUGUCCACCUGCUCUUUAAAGCAAAUGGGGAAAAUUUAUAUCUCAGCUUGUGAAAAUGUCUUUUCAGCAAUAAAAGAGAAAUUAAAUGUGAAAUAAGUUGUAAA